rnacentral:rRNA from 2 species
CUGGUGUCAGCCGCCGCGGUAAUACCAGCACCCCGAGUUGUCGGGACGAUUAUUGGGCCUAAAGCAUCCGUAGCCUGUUCUACAAGUCCUCCGUUAAAUCCACCUGCUCAACAGAUGGGCUGCGGGGGAUACUAUAGGGCUAGGAGGCGGGAGAGGCAAACGGUACUCAGUGGGUAGGGGUAAAAUCCAUUGAUCUACUGAAGACCACCAGUGGCGAAGGCGGUUUGCCAGAACGCGCUCGACGGUGAGGGAUGAAAGCUGGGGGAGCAAACCGGAUUAGAUACCCGGGUAGUCCCAGCUGUAAACGAUGCAGACUCGGUGAUGGGUUGGCUUCGCGCCAACCCAGUGCCGCAGGGAAGCCGUUAAGUCUGCCGCCUGGGGAGUACGGUCGCAAGACUGAAACUUAAAG